UAGCACCAUGCAAAUUCGGCGU
rnacentral:miRNA from 1 species